rnacentral:rRNA from 1 species
UAGGGAAUCUUCGGCAAUGGACGAAAGUCUGACCGAGCAACGCCGCGUGAGUGAAGAAGGUUUUCGGAUCGUAAAACUCUGUUGUUAGAGAAGAACAAGGACGUUAGUAACUGAACGUCCCCUGACGGUAUCUAACCAGAAAGCCACGGCUAACUACGUGCCAGCAGCCGCGGUAAUACGUAGGUGGCAAGCGUUGUCCGGGUUUAUUGGGCGUAAAGCGAGCGCAGGCGGUUUCUUAAGUCUGAUGUGAAAGCCCCCGGCUCAACCGGGGAGGGUCAUUGGAAACUGGGAGAGUUGAGUGCAGAAGAGGAGAGUGGAAUUCCAUGUGUAGCGGUGAAAUGCGUAGAUAUAUGGAGGAACACCAGUGGCGAAGGCGGCUCUCUGGUCUGUAACUGACGCUGAGGCUCGAAAGCGUGGGGAGCAAACAGG